rnacentral:rRNA from 1 species
GUCGGGAAUUUUGGGCAAUGGGCGAAAGCCUGACCCAGCAACGCCGCGUGAAGGAUGAAGUAUUUCGGUAUGUAAACUUCGUAAGAAUAGGAAGAAUAAAUGACGGUACUAUUUGUAAGGUCCGGCUAACUACGUGCCAGCAGCCGCGGUAAUACGUAGGGACCAAGCGUUGUUCGGAUUUACUGGGCGUAAAGGGCGCGUAGGCGGCGUGGUAAGUCAGCUGUGAAAUCUCCGAGCUUAACUCGGAACGGUCAGCUGAUACUGCUGUGCUAGAGUACAGAAAGGGCAAUCGGAAUUCUUGGUGUAGCGGUGAAAUGCGUAGAUAUCAAGAGGAACACCUGAGGCGAAGGCGGGUUGCUAGGCUGAUACUGACGCUGAGGCGCGAAAGCUAGGGUAGCAAACGGGAUUAGAUACCCUAGUAGUCC